rnacentral:lncRNA from 1 species
GUCACAUCCUCUCUCUCUCUCUCUCUCUCUCUCUCUAUAUAUAUAUAUAUAUAUAUAUAUAUAUCUAUAUAUAUAUACACACACACACACAACUCAUCAUUUGUUGUAUAAAUGAAAAGGAAGUCUAAAUCUAUUGAAUUGUAAUAUUCCUAGUUGAAUUAUGCUACACAAAUACAAGGUGCACAUGUAUAAACACAAGAUUGGACUGUUUGGAAAAUAAAAAUAACAAAUGGCCAAUCAUCUGUUGUCAAGUCGAUCUUUUUUUCUAUCUUUAAGUCUGGAUGAACAUCAUAUUCCUCCAUAGUUUAUGCAUCUACAGAAGAAUAUGAUGCAGCGGUCAAUUCAUCCUCCUUAGUCCCAAAGAAAGGCCAUUCAAUAUUUUGAAAGCAUUUCUUGAUUUUUGUGCUUUUAUUGACAUUAAUUCCUAGUAUAGUUACCAUUAUUCUCUGCAUGUGACCAUUCUUCCGUUUAUUAUCUAUUUGAAGCUGUCUAUGAUACAUAUACCAUACACUUGAUUGUUUUUAAUAUCCCUUCUUGGUAAGUCAUUAAGAUUUAUCAUGUAUUGUCUAGAUUCUAUGUGGUUUUACACAUUAGUGCUUAUCUCAGAUUUAAAUUAUGUUUUGGUAAGAGGCAAAGAUAAGUGCCACGGAAGUUAAGGGAAUGAAUGAAUGAGACCUUAUGUUCGUGUGUGUUUGAUAGAUAGUAUAUAAGAAACAAGAUUUUAGCUUCUUGUUCUAUCUAAUUGAAUGUUCUAUACCAAACAUUGUCGGCCAUAUAAGAAUUUCCAUGAAUAUUAGUAGAAUAGUAGCUUAAUUGUUAUAUUGUUGUCUCCAUUUUAAGUUUGCAAAAGGAAAAAUCUUCCUGCUAGAUUGCUGAUAGACAUGCUAGGUUUUAUUACAUGGUGAAAUUUUAGAGGAGACACUUAAACUUUAAAUGAUCUGUAAUUAGAACCAAGGUUCAUAUUUCUGGGAAGGGGAAAGGAUAAAACUAAGCUAAAAAUUUGAAGUACCUAUUUUCCUGUUUGUUUUGAAAAGAGUCUAAUUGGGAAGUGCUAUAUAGUUGCUCUACUUAAUUAAAUAAUUAGUUCAUAAAAAUGUAUAAACAUUUAAACAUCAAGGCCUCACCUGAUUUUA